rnacentral:rRNA from 1 species
CCUACGGGUGGCUGCAGUGGGGAAUUUUGCACAAUGGGGGAAACCCUGAUGCAGCAACGCCGCGUGAGUGACUCAGCACUUCGUUAUGUAAAGCUCUAUCAGCAGGGACGAAAAUUACCGUUCCUGAGUAAGAAGCCACGGCUAACUACGUGCCCGGCACCGCCGUAAUACGGGGGGGGCAAGCGUUAUCCGGAUUUACUGGGUGUAAAGGGAGCGUAGACGGCAGUGCAAGUCUUGUGUGAAAGUCGGGGGCUCAACCCCCGGACGGCACUGGAAACUGGAAGGCUGGACUGCAGGAGAGGUGAGUGGAAUUCCUAGUGUAGCGGUGAAAUGCGUAGAUAUUAGGAGGAACAACAGUGGCGAAGGCGGCUUACUGGACUGUAAUUGACGUUGAGGAUCGAAAGCGGGGGGAGCAAACAGGAUUAGAUACCCGUGUAGUC